rnacentral:rRNA from 1 species
AUUGAACGCUGGCGGCAGGCCUAACACAUGCAAGUCGAGCGGAUGAAGGGAGCUUGCUCCUGGAUUCAGCGGCGGACGGGUGAGUAAUGCCUAGGAAUCUGCCUGGUAGUUGGGGAUAACGUCCGGAAACGGGCGCUAAUACCGCAUCCGUCCUGAGGGAGAAAGUGGGGGAUCUUCGGACCUCACGCUAUCAGAUGAGCCUAGGUCGGAUUCGCUAGUUGGUGGGGUAAAGGCCUACCAAGGCGACGAUCCGUAACUGGUCUGAGAGGAUGAUCAGUCACACUGGAACUGAGACACGGUCCAGACUCCUACGGGAGGCAGCAGUGGGGAAUAUUAGACAAUGGGCGAAAGCCUGAUCCAGCCAUGCCGCGUGUGUGAAGAAGGUCUUCGGAUUGUAAAGCACUUUAAGUUGGGAGGAAGGGCGGUAAGUUAAUACCUUGCUGUUUUGACGGUACCAACAGAAUAAGCACCGGCUAACUUCGUG